rnacentral:rRNA from 1 species
UGGCGAACGGGUGAGUGACGCGUGAGGAACCUGCCUCAAAGAGGGGGACAACAGUUGGAAACGACUGCUAAUACCGCAUAAGCCCACGACCCGGCAUCGGGAAGAGGGAAAAGGAGCAAUCCGCUUUGAGAUGGCCUCGCGUCCGAUUAGCUAGUUGGUGAGGUAACGGCCCACCAAGGCGACGAUCGGUAGCCGGACUGAGAGGUUGAACGGCCACAUUGGGACUGAGACACGGCCCAG